AUUGAACGCUGGCGGCAGGCCUAACACAUGCAAGUCGAACGAGUGGCGGACGGGUGAGUAAUGUCUGGGAAACUGCCCGAUGGAGGGGGCUAACUACUGGAAACGGUAGCUAAUACCGCAUACCAUCGGAUGAGCCCAGAUGGGAUUAGCUCGUAGGUGGGGUAACGGCUCACCGAGGCGACGAUCCCUAGCUGGUCUGAGAGGAUAACCAGCCACACUGGAACUGAAACACGGUCCAGACUCCUACGGUAGGCAGCAGUGGGGAAUUCUGCACAAUGGGCGCAAGCCUGAUGCAGCCAUGCCGCGUGUAGGAAGAAGGCCUUCGGGUUGUAAAGUACUUUCAGCGAGGAGGCGUUACUCGCAGAAGAAGCACCGGCUAACGCCGUGCCAGCAGCCGCGGUAAUAC
rnacentral:rRNA from 1 species